rnacentral:rRNA from 1 species
CCUACGGGUGGCAGCAGUGAGGAAUAUUGGUCAAUGGGCGGGAGCCUGAACCAGCCAAGUCGCGUGAGGGAAGACGGUCCUAUGGAUUGUAAACCUCUUUAGGCGGGGAGCAAUGCCGGGCACGCGUGCCGGGAGGGAGAGUACCCGCAGUAUAAGCAUCGGCUAACUCCGUGCCAGCAGCCGCGGUAAUACGGAGGAUGCGAGCGUUAUCCGGAUUUACUGGGCGUAAAGCGCGCGUAGGCGGUAUGUCAAGUCAAAGGUGAAAUCCCCGGGCUCAACGUGGGAACUGCCUUUAAAACUGGCAAACUGGAGUGUGUGAGAGGAUAGUGGAAUUCCAGGUGUAGCAGUGAAAUCCGUAGAUAUUUGGAAGAACAUCAGUGGCGAAGGCGACUAUCUGGCACAUAACUGACGCUGAGGAGCGAAAGCGUGGGUAGCAAACAGGAUUAGAUACCCGUGUAGUC